rnacentral:rRNA from 1 species
GACGAACGCUGGCGGCGUGCCUAAUACAUGCAAGUAGGACGCAGUUGCGAACGGGUGAGUAACGCGUAGGUAACUACCUAUUAGAGGGGGAUAACUAUUGGAAACGAUAGCUAAUACCGCAUACUAGUAGAUGGACCUGCGUUGUAUUAGCUAGUAGGUAGGGUAAUGGCCUACCUAGGCAACGAUACAGAGCCGACCUGAGAGAGUGAUCGGCCACACUGGGAUGUAGGCACGGGCCAGACUCCUAGGGGAGGAGGCAGUAGGGAAGCUUCGGCGAUGGGGGGAACCCUGACCGCGCAACGCCGCGUGAGUGAAGAAGGUUUUCGGAUCGUAAAGCUCUGUGGUUAAGGAAGCGGUACUUAGCCAGAAAGGGACGGCUAACUACGUGCCAGCAGCCGCGGUAAUUC